CAAGAGGUAGCUAAAAAGAAGUAGCCAACCUGAGGCGAUCAAUUAAAUGACGCUUUGGUGCCUGCUUGUGACAAAUUAUCUCUUUCAGAAAAAAAAAACUCAAUCUUGUUGACACAUGCUCAACUUCCUACCAACUAUGGCGUUUCUGUUUUACUGGAUCUGAGCCUCCCAACAAAAGCUUCAGUUAGACUCCAUUCACAAGGUGUACACCGCCUUCUGCCGGAAUGCAGCUGAGAUAGGCUCCAGCACCCCCCGCGACCUCAAAAAAGGGACAAGCGGUAGAAAAUGGAUGGAUGGAUGUCUACACAUUGUACUGUAUGUCCAGACUUGAUCUCACAUCAGUCAGAUGUCCUGAGAUGAGGACCGUGAGCGAGAUGUGACAUCAUCACUCGGAGAAGACAAAGUGUUGGCGCCAAUGGAGCUGGCAGGAAAUAUGUCCUAGAAGUUGUGACGCUGAUCGGAAGCAACAUGUCCUCCAUGUUGUCCACCGAGGAGGAGACGCCAGGCCGCCGCCGCCGUGGAGGACGACGCAUGCACGCACUGGCAGGGCGCUGGAGAACCUUUGGACUUCAGGUAAGAAUGACGCCUGUCAUCAGACAUCACAUGACACACACGAUCAUGUGACCAUCAUGUGACGACUUCCUGUCAAAACAUGUUAGCUCCUCCAGGAGUGCAUGAAGAAUCCUGCUGGUGCAUAUUUUUAUGAUUGAUGAUUUAUGAUUAUUGUGUUGUUAUGAUUGAUGAUAUAUGAUUAUUGUCUUGUUAUGAUUGAUGAUAUAUUAUAAUU